rfam:Candidatus Woykebacteria bacterium RBG_16_39_9b RBG_16_scaffold_113, whole genome shotgun sequence.
GCGGACGUAGAUCAAUGGUAGAUCAUCAGCUUCCCAAGCUGAGGGUUGCGGGUUCGAGUCCCGUCGUCCGCU